CAAAUUAGAGCUUGAAAAAGUAUUUCAUUUACAUUGAAAUGAUAUUGAAAUUUUUAUUCAAUUAAUUUGA
rnacentral:tRNA from 1 species